GCAGUGUUUGGCUCAACCCUGCCAUAUUUCCCAUUCAUUUUUCUUUCUUCUAUUUCUCUCUACUGUUUUUAAUUAAUUAGAAAAGUAGUGUCGCAAAAAAAAAGAGGCCUAGGUGCUCUUUGUCACGCCUGUGAUCUAGCAUUAUAAUUUAUUCGUCAAAGUGCCAAUUCUAAGAGCAGUAGUAAAUCUGUUGGUUGCACUGCAAGCGUGUCAGGAUGACGUUCAGCUUGAGUUGUGUACAGUGUGGGCCCAAGGAAUGUUCAUUGUCUUUCUUUUUUUUCCUCAUUUUCUUUUACAUCUGUUGGUAUGCUUUUUAUGUUUCACCUGUAAAUGUUGUGAUUAUUGUGAAAUUAUUUUAACAGUCAGUUUGCCUUUCUAAUAGUCUUUCUUUCGUUCACUGCACGAGACAGUUGUUUGUGCAUGAAAAGAAUGCAUGCACCACAUCACCACAAACAAUGAGUUUGGCUGUAAUUGAAGCACUCAUACUUAAAAGAAUCUAGAUUUAAAUACCAACAGAGAGAGAGCCCUUGCUGGCAGUUUUUUUUUAUAAUUCUGUUUGUUUUUCUGUUUUUUUUUUCCAUAAUGUGUGUUUGUGCAUGCUGACUCUCUGCUGCUGCUGCUGCUGCUGCUGACAUUUUAAAGUUGAAGAUGCUAGCGUAAUUUUUAUCUUGUUCCGUUGAAUAAAUGGGUUCAGUUGGCUGAUG
rnacentral:lncRNA from 1 species